rnacentral:rRNA from 1 species
GUCGGGAGUUAGGAAAUGUCUACGGAUGAAUACUCCGUAGAUUUGACAAAAGCUCCUAAAGAAGCCACGGCUAAAUUCGUGCCAGCAGCCGCGGUGAGACGGAUGUGGCGAGCGUUAUUCGGAAUUACUGGGCUUGAAGCGCGCGUAGGCGGUAAGGCAAGCAGGGGGUGAAAUCCCUCGGCUCAACCGAGGAAUUGCCUUCUGAACUAUCUUACUCGAGUGCGGAUGGGGAGAGUGGAACUUCUGGU